ACAUGAACCCUUUCUGGUUCACACAUUUUAAUCUAAAUCGUAUGCUAAUGUGUUUGUGUGUGUCAGUCAGGACGAGACCAGAAGACAGAGGGUUGCGUUUUCUCUGUCUAUAAGCUGUGCACAUACACAUCUAUUUAUCUUGAUGUUCCGUCUGUAGGGGUGAUGGGGAUUAGGUUGUAUACUACACUGUCUGUAGGGGUGAUGGGGAUUAGGUUGUAUACUAUACUGUCUGUAGGGGUGAUAGGGAUUAGGUUGUAUACUAUACUGUCUGUAGGGGUGAUGGGGAUUAGGUUGUAUACUAUACUGUCUGUAGGGGUGAUGGGGAUUAGGUUGUAUACUGUCUGUAGGGGUGAUAGGGAUUAGGUUGUAUACUGUCUGUAGGGGUGAUAGGGAUUAGGUUGUAUACUAUACUGUCUGUAGGGGUGAUGGGGAUUAGGUUGUAUACUAUACUGUCUGUAGGGGUGAUGAGGAUUAGGUUGUAUACUAUACUGUCUGUAGGGGUGAUAGGGAUUAGGUUGUAUACUAUACUGUCUGUAGGGGUGAUGGGGAUUAGGUUGUAUACUAUACUGUCUGUAGGGGUGAUGAGGAUUAGGUUGUAUACUAUACUGUCUGUAGGGGUGAUAGGGAUUAGGUUGUAUACUAUACUGUCUGUAGGGGUGAUGGGGAUUAGGUUGUAUACUAUACUGUCUGUAGGGGUGAUGGGGAUUAGGUUGUAUACUAUACUGUCUGUAGGGGUGAUGGGGAUUAGGUUGUAUACUAUGCUGUCUGUAGGGGUGAUGGGGAUUAGGUUGUAUACUAUACUGUUUGUAGGGGUGAUGGGGAUUAGGUUGUAUACUAGACUGUCUGUAGGGGUGAUAGGGAUUAGGUUGUAUACUAUGCUGUCUGUAGGGGUGAUGGGGAUUAGGUUGUAUACUAUACUGUCUGUAGGGGUGAUGGGGAUUAGGUUGUAUACUAUACUGUCUGUAGGGGUGAUGGGGAUUAGGUUGUAUACUGUCUGUAGGGGUGAUAGGGAUUAGGUUGUAUACUACACUGUCUGUAGGGGUGAUGGGGAUUAGAUUGUAUACUAUACUGUCUGUAGGGGUGAUGGGGAUUAGGUUGUAUUCUAUACUGUCUGUAGGGGUGAUGGGGAUUAGGUUGUAUACUAUACUGUCUGUAGGGGUGAUAGGGAUUAGGUUGUAUACUAUGCUGUCUGUAGGGGUGAUGGGGAUUAGGUUUUAUACUAUACUGUCUGUAGGGGGAUAGGGAUUAUGUUGUAUACUGUCUGUAGGGGUGAUGGGGAUUAGGUUGUAUACUAUACUGUCUGUAGGGGUGAUGGGGAUUAGGUUGUAUACUAUGCUGUCUGUAGGGGUGAUAGGGAUUAGGUUGUAUACUAUACUGUCUGUAGGGGUGAUGGGGAUUAGGUUGUAUACUGUCUGUAGGGGUGAUGGGGAUUAGGUUGUAUACUGUCUGUAGGGGUGAUAGGGAUUAGGUUGUAUACUAUACUGUCUGUAGGGGUGAUGGGGAUUAGGUUGUAUACUAUACUGUCUGUAGGGGUGAUAGGGAUUAGGUUGUAUACUAUACUGUCUGUAGGGGUGAUGGGGAUUAGGUUGUAUACUAUACUGUCUGUAGGGGUGAUAGGGAUUAGGUUGUAUACUAUACUGUCUGUAGGGGUGAUGGGGAUUAGGUUGUAUACUAUACUGUCUGUAGGGGUGAUAGGGAUUAGGUUGUAUACUGUCUGUAGGGGUGAUAGGGAUUACAUGUGGAUCAUAGUAUUGGAAGAGUUUUUCUUCCACCAGGAGACUUCUAGUUAAAUCCUGUACUUCUAAUGUUAUAUUAUUGCAUCUUUCAGGGAAAUCGUAAAAUGAUGUUUCAUGACCGUGUAUGACCUUAGAGUCAAAUCCCGAUCCGUCCCGUACAGUUUACAGCUAUGGGACUACCCUGUUGUGCAUGACAACCACAAGCUCACUGAGUGGCGGUAGUUUAUGGAGUUAUAGAGGUGAGACACAUAGGCCCUGUAGACGCUUCAGUUUAAUUCUGUUAUUAUGUCAUUAUAAUGUGACUGCCACCUUGACCCUGUCCACCCUCAC
rnacentral:lncRNA from 1 species